CCCCUUUGAUAGUUUUAAUUAUAGAAAAUUUUCAAAUACCAUCCCUCUUGUUUCACACUUUCUCACUUUAGCACUUUGUAGUGUAAAAUGUACUAAUUUAGUAUUCUGUGGUUUUAUUUUUAUCUUUUAUUAUCAACUUCACUAAUUUUUUUUAUUAAAUUAGUGGCAAAGUUAAAACUAAAGGGUACUAAAAUGAAUAUUUGAUAAACUUAGGUAGAGUUUUUGAAAUUUUUUUGUAUAUAAUUCAACGAAAUGUUAACGAAAAAACUGAUGAAAAGAUAAAAAUGAAACCACAGGAUAUUGAUUUGAUACACUUUAAAUCACAUGGUAUUAUAAUGAGAAAGUGCGAAAAUACAUGAAUAGUAUUUGAAGUUUACCCUUUAA
rnacentral:lncRNA from 1 species